rnacentral:rRNA from 1 species
GACGAACGCUGGCGGCGUGCUUAACACAUGCAAGUCGAACGGAAAGGCCCUGCUUGCCGGGUGCUCGAGUGGCGAACGGGUGAGUAACACGUGGGUGAUCUGCCCCUUACUUUGGGAUAAGCCUGGGAAACUGGGUCUAAUACUGGAUAGGACCAUGCUGUAGGUGGUGUGGUGGAAAGAUUAGUUUCGGUAAGGGAUGAGCUCGCGGCCUAUCAGCUUGUUGGUGGGGUAAUGGCCUACCAAGGCGUCGACGGGUAGCCGGCCUGAGAGGGUGGACGGCCACAUUGGGACUGAGAUACGGCCCAGACUCCUACGGGAGGCAGCAGUGGGGAAUAUUGCACAAUGGGCACAAGCCUGAUGCAGCGACGCCGCGUGGGGGAUGACGGCCUUCGGGUUGUAAACUCCUUUCAGCCAUGACGAAGCCCUUGUGGUGACGGUAGUGGUAGAAGAAGCACCGGCUAACUACGUG